CGCACCUUGCGCCCUUUGGUAUUCCGAAGGGCAUGCCUGUUUGAGUGUCAUUAAAUUCUCAACCUUGCGGGAUUUUUUCUUGCAAGGCUUGGAUGUGAGGGUUUCUGCUGGCUUCCUUCAGUUGGAUGGUCUGCUCCCUUCAAAUUCAUUAGUGGGAUCCUUUGUGGAUGGUCACUUGGUGUGAUAAUUAUCUACGCCGCCUGACUCUGAAACAAGACUUGUGGGGACCUGCUUAUAACCGUCUCUUCAGAGACAAAUCUUUUGACAAUUUGACCUCAAAUCAGGUAGGACUACCCGCUGAACUUAA
rnacentral:misc_RNA from 1 species